rnacentral:rRNA from 1 species
AGUGGAGCAUGUUGGUUCAAUUCGAUGCAAACGCGAAGAACCUUACCUGGUCUUGACAUCCCAGGAAUCCUGCAGAGAUGCGGGAGUGCCUUCGGGAGCCUGGAGACAGGUGCUGCAUGGCUGUCGUCAGCUCGUGUCGUGAGAUGUUGGGUUAAGUCCCGCAACGAGCGCAACCCUUGCCCUUAGUUGCCAUCAUUCAGUUGGGAACUCUAAGGGGACCGCCGGUGACAAACCGGAGGAAGGUGGGGAUGACGUCAAGUCAUCAUGGCCUUUAUGACCAGGGCUACACACGUGCUACAAUGGCCGGUACAAAGGGUUGCGAAGCCGCGAGGUGAAGCUAAUCUCAAAAAACCGGUCUCAGUUCGGAUUGGAGUCUGCAACUCGACCCCAUGAAGUCGGAAUCGCUAGUAAUCGCGGAUCAGAACGCCGCGGUGAAUACGUUCCCGGGCCUUGUACACACCGCCCGUCACACCAUGGGAGUCAAUUGCUCCAGAAGUCGGUGCGCCAACCGCAAGGAGGCAGCCGCCCAAGGAGUGAUUGGUAACUGGGGUGAAGUCGUAACAAGGUAACCGUAAAUC